rnacentral:sRNA from 1 species
AUUCUGCUCAUGCGGGGAAGGAUGAGAAGCUUCGACUAAGGUUCGACUCGAGCGCCAGCGAGAGAGCGUUGCCGCAGGCAACGACCCGUAGGGCGAAGCGCGCAGCGCUGAGUAAUCCUUCCCCCACCACCA